UUGUGACCCCAGGUCCCGCUGAGUUUAAGCAUAUCAA
rnacentral:rRNA from 1 species